rnacentral:rRNA from 1 species
UACGGAGGGGGCUAGCGUUGUUCGGAAUUACUGGGCGUAAAGGGCGCGUAGGCGGCGCGAUAAGUUGGGCGUGAAAGGCCCGGGCUCAACCCGGGGACUGCGCUUGAUACUGUCGCGCUGUGAGUCCGGGAGAGGAUGGCGGAAUUCCCAGUGUAGAGGUGAAAUUCGUAGAUAUUGGGAAGAGCACCGGUGGCGAAGGCGGCCAUCUGGACCGGCACUGACGCUGAGGCGCGAAAGCGUGGGGAGCAAACAGG